rnacentral:rRNA from 1 species
ACUGUCCAGUAAUCUGGGAUUCCUACCUUAAGUGGAGCAAAUUUUCGGAAACUGAUGAUAUACCUCAUAGGUCACGAGGACUGGGAAGACUUGUGGCUCAAAGUUCCGGCGCUUUAGGAUUGGUCUGCGGGCUAAUAUGGUAUUAUUGUGGGUAACGACCUGCUGUCGAAGACGGGAUGGUCUUUGAAGAGGUAGCCAGAGAAGGAUUCUUAAGACACGAAUCAGGGCCUACGGGGCGCAGCAGUCGCGAAAACUUCACAAUGGAGGCAACUCCGAAGAGGGAAUUCCUAGUGCCAAUGCAUUUUGUGUGGCUUUUCUUCAGCGUAGAAAACGGUUGGAAUAAGGGCUGGGUAAGACGGGUGCCAGCAGCCGCGGUAAUAC